rnacentral:rRNA from 1 species
GACGUAGGGCGCGAGCGUUGUCCGGAUUUAUUGGGCGUAAAGAGCUCGUAGGCGGCUUGUCGCGUCGUUCGUGAAAACCCGGGGCUCAACUCCGGGCUUGCGGGCGAUACGGGCAGGCUAGAGUUCGGUAGGGGAGACUGGAAUUCCUGGUGUAGCGGUGAAAUGCGCAGAUAUCAGGAGGAACACCGGUGGCGAAGGCGGGUCUCUGGGCCGAUACUGACGCUGAGGAGCGAAAGCGUGGGGAGCAAACAGG